rnacentral:rRNA from 1 species
GACGAACGCUGGCGGCGUGCCUAAUACAUGCAAGUAGAACGCUGAAGGAGGAGCUUGCUUCUCUGGAUGAGUUGCGAACGGGUGAGUAACGCGUAGGUAACCUGCCUGGUAGCGGGGGAUAACUAUUGGAAACGAUAGCUAAUACCGCAUAAGAGUGGAUGUUGCAUGACAUUUGCUUAAAAGGUGCACUUGCAUCACUACCAGAUGGACCUGCGUUGUAUUAGCUAGUUGGUGGGGUAACGGCUCACCAAGGCGACGAUACAUAGCCGACCUGAGAGGGUGAUCGGCCACACUGGGACUGAGACACGGCCCAGACUCCUACGGGAGGCAGCAGUAGGGAAUCUUCGGCAAUGGACGGAAGUCUGACUCGAGCAACGCCGCGUGAGUGAAGAAGGUUUUCGGAUCGUAAAGCUCUGUUGUAAGAGAAGAACGAGUGUGAGAGUGGAAAGUUCA